AUGGGUAGUGCUGUGCUCCAGGCUCGGGAGCCAGCGAGCACUGGGCACCCCGGCAGGAUAAAGUCGCCGUGCGCAGGCGCUGCAAGCAUCAGAGAAACACGGAGCUGCUCUCCUGCCGGGCACAAGCCCUGCGUGAGGACCCGCUGGCCCCGCGGAGGGAUGAACCUGCUUUCUCAGCCCAGUGCCAGCCUGCUGCUCCUUUUCUUUACCCUUGUCUUUACAUUCAGACUUCAAACUGACAGGCCCAAGUGGGUGCGAGCGUGGACGCUGGUGUCCGUCCGAGCCGGGCUGCAGGCAGGAGAGCUGCCCGUGAAGUCAGACACCUUACUCAGUAAAAACAAAUGGGCCCAGGAAACACACGGAGCCUGGGAGCCUCCGUCAGGGCAGCUGCAGGCUUGGCUGCAGCUUUCCCCCCUCAACUCUCAGAGCGGUGGAAUUUGGGGGAUUAAUGUUACAUACCACUAGGUGUCCUGGCUCCGUUUCUUUUGAUUGCCGCUUCAAGAAAAAUAUGGAAAAUGCCUCCUGUUCGUCUGUUUUUCUUCCCCACCAUAAACUGUAUGGUCUCCUGGAUGCUCCAGAGCCAGCCAAAUGUACAGCAUGUGGAAAACAACCUUGACGCAGUGACCGCAGAGCACAGGAGUGCUUCACAUAGCUCACUGGUUCAUCCUGCAUGGAGAACCGUUAUGUGGAGUAAAGUGUAAGUGUCAUCCCGUGUACGAUUCUCUCCGGCCUGGAUUGCCAGCUCCAGCUGGUGGCCCGACCGACCACACAUCUCCGCGGUUGCUAGUCACCCUUCUCGGCCAAGAGCGGAGCUAAGAGACUCCACCGCUGCCACCUGCCAACUCCCCAGCAUUGGAUGUACUUCAGAUGCACAGGCUACAGAGUCUGCUAUGUACUUGUUUCGUUACGCGAGUCAUUGGUCAGACCCCCUCCGUGCCCAGUUUGGUAGGAACGGUACAAAAGCGGCCCAGUCCAGUCAGGCCGACGUCCAGGCAUUAGCAUCUAUCACUUACCUGGUGGAAGGGCUCCGAUGGAAGAAGGGCAGAUCUGUAGGAGCUACAAUAUGGAUAAACAGGGUUUCAAUAGUCUCCACCUAACACUAGACAAUUGGAGUUUGUCUCUUUUUUGGUUUUUAAAUAAAUAAAUAAAUGAGAAGUCA
rnacentral:lncRNA from 1 species